rnacentral:rRNA from 1 species
CACGUAGGGCGCGAGCGUUGUCCGGAAUUAUUGGGCGUAAAGAGCUCGUAGGUGGUCUGUUACGUCUGCUGUGAAAACCUAGGGCUUAACCCUGGGCCUGCAGUGGAUACGGGCAGACUAGAGGUAGGUAGGGGAGAAUGGAAUUCCCGGUGUAGCGGUGAAAUGCGCAGAUAUCGGGAGGAACACCGGUGGCGAAGGCGGUUCUCUGGGCCUUACCUGACACUGAGGAGCGAAAGCGUGGGGAGCGAACAGG